UACGUAGGGGGGCUAGCGUUGUCCGGAAUCAUUGGGCGUAAAGCGCGUGUAGGCGGUCCGGUAAGUCCGCUGUGAAAGUCGGGGGGUCAACCCUCGGAUGCCGGUGGAUACUGUCGGGCUUGAGUACGGAAGAGGCGAGUGGAAUUCCUGGUGUAGCGGUGAAAUGCGCAGAUAUCAGGAGGAACACCAAUUGCGAAGGCAGCUCGCUGGGACGUUUACUGACGCUGAGACGCGAAAGC
rnacentral:rRNA from 1 species